AAGUAAAUGCAACUUUUAUUGCAAAGAUUUUGCCUGGCAGCGUAAUAUCUUUCCGUCGUACCAUCGGAGGUCAAGACGCCUCAGUUCAGCGUGAGCGUCUGGUGUUGACCUGCAGGUUUAUAAAGUUGAAAGGUCACCAGGCAUAGCAAGAGCUCUGAGGUCAAAGGUCAAUCUAAGUGAGAGCACUUAAAUUCCAUUCUGGAUUUCAGAGCCUCUUACUGAAGCCCAUUUGUAAUCGGAGCUAUGAGGUUAAUCAACUAAAGCUCACUGCAGCCACACAAAGUUUUGCAUCAUCUAAGCUGCAUGUUAAGCUUUAUUAGCUUCAAAAAUUCGUAACCUUAGUCCUGUAAUGGACUGGAGCCGAACACUGGGAAGGAGGUGAAACCUGGAGUAUGUGGAGGAAACCAAGCAGAACAUGUGUAGCUUAAGAUGGAACCCCGAACCCUGGAGCCAUGAGGCAGCAGCACUAUUUUCCUGACCACUGUGUUAAUCUCAGCGAUUUUCUUCAGGAAUAAUAAUAAACUGCGGCCCACAGCCGUGUUGCUGUGAAUGAAACCUGGUUGUUAUGGUAACAGGACGAAUCAAACAAACAUCAAUAAAAAAAUAAAUCGCAAAAUAAUUUAAAGCGAAAACAAAUCACCCUGUUU